rnacentral:misc_RNA from 1 species
GUGAUUAAAUCGAGCGUGUCUUCAUUGACCGCUCACCCUUCUCACCAUCCACAUACACCUGUGCACUGUUUAGCCUGAGCCGGUUUUCCGGCCCAGGUUAUCACUUCAUACAAACUCUAGUCUUAUGAAUGUAAACGUUUUAAUAACAUAAUA